CAGAUAUUUUCAAUUGAUUUCAGACUAACAAGUUGGACAUCAUUUACAGAAGCAAAAUAUUUGAUGAUCUUUGAUGUGAAAAGAUUUGAAGCUGUUCUUGUAGCCACACAUACAUGAGGAACUUGCUAUAACUGUUUAAUUAACAAGGAAUCUAAAUAAACAGAAUGACUACAUAGCAACAAGACAGCAAGUCAUAAAGGAAAAAAGUUUGGUUGCUGGAAUGGAAUACAAGCAUGGAUACAAGCAUUUCCUGCUUCCCCAAAGAUGGAUGUUACAGAGAUUGUACAUCAGAAUGUUAUUAUGACAUCAAUUCAAAAUUUCCUUUUCAUUUGUUUCUGAAAGUUGACAUUGUAUUGCAUUCUCAACCUUUCAGAUGGGUACAAGAAAUUCAAACACAUUUAUGAAAAGUGAUAUUUAAAAGUUCAUUUCAAAAUUUAUAAUAUAAGAGCUAAACACCAUAAUGUUAGAAAGUUAAACAUAGCAGACUUGCUUGUCAGUGUUUACAAUCUGUUUCAAAGCAAAAUGGAUAGUAACCUUUGGUUGGCAAGACACAAAGCACGAGCAUGGCGCGGACUAACAUAGCACCCUCUAACAUAACCAAAAACAUGCAUUUGGCACAGUAUAUAACUUAAAUGCUAUGCUGACUUACUGAUCCUAUGGUUGAUUUACUCUUUCAAUUUCUGGUAAAUUUUAUUUAAUUGAAAAAAAUUGAUGAAUUUGUAGUUUUCUGAUGUGCUUCAGUGAAGAGCCAGUGGAAGCCAAAGUUUCUUGGGGAGGUUAAGAAUCUUCUUUCAUCUUGUAUACUUCACAAGAUUAUAUGACAGCCUGCAUCCUUAUAAGAUGAUAGCCAAUGUCAGUAUCCUCAACAUAACAGAUUGUUGUCAGCCUAUUUUGGUGUCCAUGCUGGAUUAGCAUAAAUCAUUUGAUUGAUUCUACCACAAACUGUAUCCUUACAAUAUCAGAUGUAUGCCAAAAUUGUAUCCUUACACAAUAAGAUGGAUGCC